UCUCUGGUGGCUCAGGUGGUAGAGAAUCUGCCUGAAAUGCAGGAGACCAGGGUUCAAACCUUGUUGGGAAG
rnacentral:tRNA from 1 species